rnacentral:rRNA from 1 species
UACGUAGGGGGCAGCGUGUUCGGAUUCGAUUGGUGCGUAAAGAGCGUGUAGGCGGCCAGGUAGGUCUGCUGUGAAAACUCGAGGCUUAACCUCGAGAUGUCGGCGGAAACCAUCUGGCUAGAGUCCGGAAGAGGAGAGUGGAAUUCCUGGUGUAGCGGUGAAAUGCGCAGAUAUCAGGAAGAACACCCGUGGCGAAGGCGGCUCUCUGGGACGGUACUGACGCUGAGACGCGAAAGCGUGGGGAGCGAACAGG